rnacentral:snRNA from 1 species
AUACUUACCUGGAUGACACCAAUGAGUGAUUAAGAAGCUCAUGAUGUAGGAUAAUAACUUUCAUUGCACUUGGGAGGGGUGUUGCUCUAAGGUUUGUCCAAGUGGCAAAACCUAUGUCAUAAUUUGUGGUAGAGGGGAUAUGCUUUUGCGCAACCUUAUG